GAUACUGGCUCAGGAUGAACGCUAGCUACAGGCUUAACACAUGCAAGUCGAGGGGCAUCAGGAAGAAAGCUUGCUUUCUUUGCUGGCGACCGGCGCACGGGUGAGUAACACGUAUCCAACCUGCCCUUUACUCGGGGAUAGCCUUUCGAAAGAAAGAUUAAUACCCGAUAGCAUAAUGAUUCCGCAUGGUUUCAUUAUUAAAAGGAUUCCGGUUAAAGGAUGGGGAUGCGUUUCCAUUAGGUUGUUGGGUGAGGUAACGG
rnacentral:rRNA from 1 species